UUGCUGGUGAUGUGGGAAAUCUCUGAGGAUACCUUUGAAUCUUUCACACACUAUUUAUAAAUUCUCCUCAAGCUUCUGCUUAAAACUCAAUAUUUAACUUCUUAGCCU
rfam:Capsicum annuum cultivar Zunla-1 chromosome 9, whole genome shotgun sequence